GGAGCAUUAGUCUAAGUAAGACCUCUGAUUUCGGCUCAGAAAAUUGUGGCUAAAAUCCGCGAUCUCCUU
rnacentral:tRNA from 1 species